CGUUAGAGGCACAGACACCAAGACUCGGGAGGUGCACAAGGCCAUAGAUGGGGGCCACUUCAAGGUCCAUUGAAUGUGAUGCAUUAACAAACUGUACAGCCUCCCCUCCAUUCCAUGGCCGCACUUGAUUCAUGCACCGCUUGCCCUCUCCAGUGAAAAGGCUCAUGUAUCUAGAUAAAUGAAGAUGGAGCCCUACGAUUGUCGUCCCUGUCAAUACCCUGGCCAUGGGAGAGUGCAGUUCAACCAUCACACAGAGAGUGAGGCUAGAAUAUCAAUGUAGUGGAAAUUAAGAUGUGGAUGUGACCAGACAUGAGAGAGUGGGGCUGUGGUUGACAAAGAGAAGGAGAAUUCUUGGGCAUGCGACAACGUAAUUAUUAGUUUUUGAUUGUAGUAAUCUGUGUUACAAAAUAGGGUCCAUUGACGAGACAUGUCUUCGAUUCGCUGGCUGGUUGGGGAUGACUUGCGUGCUGAAACAAAACCGGCCAUUGAUCCGCUCUCAAGCUUUCUUAUUAACUCAACUGGGUUUGAUGCUGUGUGGUGAUUUUGAAUUACAAAAACAUUGCUCCCAUUUUUUUGUACUUGGAUUACAGGAUGGAUCAUUCACGUCUUUUCAA